GUCUACAGCCAUACCACCCUGAACGCGCCUGAUCUCAUGUGGUCUCAGAAGCUAAGCAGGGUCGGGCCUGGUUAGUACUUGGAUGGGAGACCGUUUAGGAAUACAGGGUGCCUUAGGCU
rnacentral:rRNA from 1 species